UCAGGCCCAAGCCCUGGGAACAGAGGGCGGAUUUGUGAAAGUGGCUCCGUCCAGCCCUGCACUGCGACCUUGGGCUUCGGGCGAGUCCCUUCACCUCGCCAAGCUUCAAGGUCCUCAUGGGUACAAAGAUGGGGCCGUAAGGAACAUAUGUCUCAGGAUUAUGAGAAAAUGAAACCUACAUCCGUGCCGGUACUGGGGUCGGUGCUCAGUGAAACCCAGCACCGUCACGGCGCUGGGCAGCAACGUGGGUUCACACGGUUGGUGGGUCGAGGGCGUGCCUGAGGAUGUGUGGUUUUGGAAGGAUGUCGUUGGAAAGGUCGCUCAGGGUCAGUGAAUGUUUGUUGAACGAAGGAAUUCAUUCCACUUUCAACAAACAUUCGCCUCCGAGGUCCCCUCUGUGCCCAGCCCUGGGACACCACCUGCGAGGAAGCCAGCACGCGUCCUCGCCUGCCAGCUGGACCAGGUACCUUCUGAGGCCAAGCCUAAACCCACCACCAUCGGGUGGGGGGCGCUGCCUUCACCUUGGCCUCGAGCUCUGUGAUUCCUCCCACCCGCACCCCCCCCACAGCAUCAUUCUAACCACUGGUUUCCGUGUCUGUGCUCCUGGCCACGGUGUCUCACAGACAGAAUCAUUGCCCAGAGGAGGGUGUCCCAGACGGAGGGCACGGCAUGGACAAAGACCCAGGCAUGAAAGAGCAAAGUAUGUUCUGGGAACAGCAAGCCAGUUGGAGUGGCUGCCGUGUGAAGAAACUUAGCUGGGAGCUGUGGGCAGUGGGAUUGCCUCGGGUCUGUGCCACACGGAGAGAGGCCUUGAGGACCGUGCUAAGGAAUUUUGGAUCUUGGUCAUGUGGGCAACUCGGGUCAUUGUUUAUUUUGAGCAGAGGAGUGUCCUAUUCAGGUUACGGAUUUAGACAGAGCCCUCUGGUAGGCAGCAUGGAGGAUAAUUUGGAUGGAGCUAAUCAGGAGGCAGAGCAACCAGCUAGGAAGCAGAUGCUGCUGCCAUACAGUGUCCCUCGUUCAGAUGAGUUUUUCGACACCCAGCUCUACUCGGCCACUUCCUGGACCAGAAAACUGGAGGGCGAGCCCCUCCCCCACUGUCUGAGGACCGAAGCCCCAACGCCUAGGCCUGCAAGGCCUGGGGCCCCAAGACCUAGGCCCCGGCCACUGUGCAACCAUCCCCCCACCCUGGGUACGUGUUCCACACUCCAUUUGCUCAACGUGCAAAUAUCUGCUGAGCCCUAACUAUGUGCCAGAAAUUGUGUCCGGCGCCCAGGAAAUAGCUGCCCAUCCCGCCUCGCACACAAACGCCCAAGCGAACCUUGGUAUGUUUUCAGACCAGCAGCUCAGUCGCAAAACACGAAGCAGGCUACUUGCAAUUUGCCUUCAGCUGCCUGGAAAAUCUGCAGAGAACCCCCUUUAAUCCCUCCUUCUUAUCCCCAACUUCUGCCUUCCUCUCCCCCCCCUUGGAGGACGCAUGGCCCCUUGAAGUUUUGUUUGCUUGCAGGGAAUAAAAAAACAACAAAAACCCA